AUUGAACGCUGGCGGCAGGCCUAACACAUGCAAGUCGAGCGGCAGCGGAAGGAAGCUUGCUUCCUUGCCGGCGAGCGGCGGACGGGUGAGUAAGGUAUGGGGAUCUGGCCGAAGGCGGGGGAUAACCACUGGAAACGGUGGCUAAUACCGCAUAAUCUCUAAGGAGCAAAGUGGGGGACCGUUCAGGCCUCACACCUUCGGAUGAACCCAUAUGAGAUUAGCUAGUAGGUGGGGUAAUGGCUCACCUAGGCGACGAUCUCUAGCUGGUGUGAGGGGAGUAUCAGCCACACUGGGCCUGAGACACGGCCCAGACGCCUACGGGAGGCAGCAGUGGGGAAUAUUGCACAAUGGGCGCAAGCCUGAUGCAGCCAUGCCGCGUGUAUGAAGAAGGCCUUCGGGUUGUAAAGUACUUUCAGUCGUGAGGAAGGUGUUAAGGUUAAUAACCUUAGCAAUUGACGUUAGCGACAGAAGAAGCACCGGCUAACUCCGUGCCAGCAGCCGCCGUAA
rnacentral:rRNA from 1 species